CCACAUCACGUUGAAACACCGGCUCCCGUACGGUCACCGAAAUUAAGCAACGUCGAGCCUGGUCAGUAUCUAGAUGGAUGACCACUUGUGAAUAUUAGGUGGGUG